rnacentral:rRNA from 1 species
UACGUAGGGGGCGAGCGUUGUCCGGAGUUACUGGGCGUAAAGCGCACGCAGGCGGUCUGCUAAGUUUGGAGUGACAGUUGGUGGCUCAACCACCAAAGUGCUUUGAAAACUGACAGACUUGAGGGCUUCAGAGGGACACGGAAUUCCGGGUGGAGUGGUGAAAUGCGUAGAGAUCCGGAGGAACACCAAAGGCGAAGGCAGUGUCCUGGGGAGUACCUGACGCUCAGGUGCGAAAGCUAGGGGAGCGAACAGG